UAGCUACAGGCUUAACACAUGCAAGUCGAGGGGCAGCAUGGUCUUAGCUUGCUAAGGCCGAUGGCGACCGGCGCACGGGUGAGUAACGCGUAUCCAACCUGCCUUACACUCUUGGACAGCCUUCUGAAAGGGAGAUUAAUACAAGAUGUUAUCAUGAGUAAGCAUUUUCGCAUGAUUAAAGGUUUACCGGUGUAAGAUGGGGAUGCGUUCCAUUAGAUAGUAGGCGGGGUAACGGCCCACCUAGUCUUCGAUGGAUAGGGGUUCUGAGAGGAAGGUCCCCCACAUUGGAACUGAGACACGGUCCAAACUCCUACGGGAGGCAGCAGUGAGGAAUAUUGGUCAAUGGACGAGAGUCUGAACCAGCCAAGUAGCGUGAAGGAUGAAGGUUCUAUGGAUUGUAAACUUCUUUUAUACGGGAAUAAACGAAUCCACGUGUGGAUUUUUGCAUGUACCGUAUGAAUAAGGAUCGGCUAACUCCGUGCCAGCAGCCGCGGUAAUACGGAGGAUCCGAGCGUUAUCCGGAUUUAUUGGGUUUAAAGGGAGCGUAGAUGGGUUGUUAAGUCAGUUGUGAAAGUUUGCGGCUCAACCGUAAAAUUGCAAUUGAUACUGGCAGUCUUGAGUACAGUUGAGGUAGGCGGAAUUCGUGGUGUAGCGGUGAAAUGCUUAGAUAUCACGAAGAACUCCGAUUGCGAAGGCAGCUUACUAACCUGUAACUGACAUUGAUGCUCGAAAGUGUGGGUAUCAAACGGGAUUAGAUACCCUGGUAGUCCACACGGUAAACGAUGAAUACUCGCUGUAGGCGAUAUACAGUCUGCGGCCAAGCGAAAGCAUUAAGUAUUCCACCUGGGGAGUACGCCGGCAACGGUGAAACUCAAAGGAAUUGACGGGGGCCCGCACAAGCGGAGGAACAUGUGGUUUAAUUCGAUGAUACGCGAGGAACCUUACCCGGGCUUAAAUUGCAACCGAAUAUGGCGGAAACGCUAUAGCUAGCAAUAGCGGUUGUGAAGGUGCUGCAUGGUUGUCGUCAGCUCGUGCCGUGAGGUGUCGGCUUAAGUGCCAUAACGAGCGCAACCCUUGCCGAUAGUUACUAACAGGUCAUGCUGAGGACUCUGUCGGGACUGCCAUCGUAAGAUGUGAGGAAGGUGGGGAUGACGUCAAAUCAGCACGGCCCUUACGUCCGGGGCUACACACGUGUUACAAUGGGGGGUACAGAGGGCUGCUACCACGCAAGUGGAUGCCAAUCCCAAAAACCUCUCUCAGUUCGGAUUGAAGUCUGCAACCCGACUUCAUGAAGCUGGAUUCGCUAGUAAUCGCGCAUCAGCCACGGCGCGGUGAAUACGUUCCCGGGCCUUGUACACACCGCCCGUCAAGCCAUGGGAGCCGGGGGUACCUGAAGUGCGUAACCGCAAGGAGCGCCCUAGGGUAAAACUGGUGACUGGGGCUAAGUCAUAACAA
rnacentral:rRNA from 1 species